rnacentral:rRNA from 1 species
GUGUCAGCCGCCGCGGUAAUACGGAGGGUGCGAGCGUUGUCCGGAUUUAUUGGGUUUAAAGGGUGCGUAGGUGGCUUUAUAAGUCAGUGGUGAAAUACAGCCGCUCAACGGUUGAGGUGCCAUUGAUACUGUAGAGCUUGAAACAAGUGGAGGCUGCCGGAAUGGAUGGUGUAGCGGUGAAAUGCAUAGAUAUCAUCCAGAACACCGAUUGCGAAGGCAGGUGGCUACGUUUGAUUUGACACUGAGGCACGAAAGCAUGGGGAGCAAACAGGAUUAGAAACCCUUGUAGUCC